AGAGCACAGAACAGCAUAAAGGAGCUGCAGGAUCAGAGAAAGUGCAUUGAAUGCAGAAUCCUUUGGCAUGGGAAAAACCUCAGGAAGCACAAUACUGCAACCUCUGCAGCCGCUCUGACCUACUGGAAUUGAACUCUGAUCUUCUGCAUAAUAAAGAUGAGUACUUCUUAGUGAUGCAAAUUUAGGAAAGGAAGAAUGUCUGCUACUAGGAGCCUCUCUCUCCAGAAAACACAUUUCAACUAUAACGGUGUUACACAACUCUGAAUUUCGAGCCUAAACAAGAUUUCUCAGGCUCUACAACAAAUCUCU
rnacentral:lncRNA from 1 species